UGUCUUUGAAAAUGUUGGUGGAAAGAUUA
rnacentral:piRNA from 1 species